GCGGGUGACAGAGGAAGAUUCAUUCCCUCCAUAGCAGGCAAAGUCCCCCGUUCUUGUUUGUCCCAAGGUCCAUCCUCUCAGCUUUUUUACCCACUGAACUUCACCCCGGGAGCGCGCGACGACCACCACCACCACCGCCCUCAUCAAUGGCUGCUCGGGUGAUAACGGUGGCGCCGGACGGUACCGGCGACUUCGGCACGGUGCAGGAGGCCAUCGACGCGGUCCCCCUCGGCAACGCCCGCCGCACCGUCAUCCGGGUGUCGCCCGGCGUGUACAGGCAGCCCGUGUACGUGCCCAAGACCAAGAACUUCAUCACCCUCGCCGGGGUCGGGCCCGAGGACACCGUCCUCACUUGGCACAACACCGCCUCCAAAAUCGACCACCACCAGGCGCCUCGUGUGAUCGGGACGGGGACGUUCGGGUGUGGGAGCACGAUCGUGGAAGGGGGAGAUUUCAUUGCUGAGAACAUCACUUUUGAGAAUUCGGCUCCUGAGGGUUCAGGCCAAGCUGUGGCUAUUAGGGUGACAGCAGACAGGUGUGCCUUCUACAACUGCAGGUUUCUUGGUUGGCAGGAUACAUUGUACUUGCAUUACGGGAAACAGUAUUUAAGAGAUUGCUACAUCGAGGGAAGUGUAGACUUCAUCUUUGGCAAUAGUACUGCUCUUUUGGAGCACUGUCAUAUCCAUUGCAAGUCAGCAGGUUUCAUAACAGCACAAAGCAGGAAGUCUUCUCAGGAAUUGACUGGUUAUAUUUUCUUAAGAUGUGUCAUCACUGGCACUGGAGGAACUUCAUAUACAUAUCUGGGACGACCAUGGGGACCUUUCGGAAGGGUGGUAUAUGCAUACACAUACAUGGAUGCUUGUAUCAAGCAAGUGGGCUGGAAUAAUUGGGGAAAAACUGAGAAUGAAAGAACUGCUUGCUUUUAUGAAUACAGGUGCUUUGGGCCAGGCAGUUGUCCCUCAAAACGUGUGACAUGGGCUAGAGAACUGGUUGAUGAAGAAGCAGAACAGUUCCUAAUGCAUAACUUCAUCGACCCUGACCCCGAGAAUCCUUGGCUUGCUCAGAGAAUGGCCAUUAGGAUACCAUUUUCUGCCUAGAUGGUUUCGAGGUGUCACUUUUUCAAAAAAUUUGGAUUCUGAACGUUAGGCCAAGAAUGUACGGGGGGAUGUAACUUGAUGUCUGGACGUGGGGAUAAUGGAUUGCUGUUGGUGUGAGUUAUUGUCUUGAGAUCAAGCAGAAUAAGCACUCCUCUGAUGCCAUUUUCUAUCUUAUUAGUAGAGGUGACGGACGGGUGGGUUGAAUACGGUAGACCUGAGUAACCCGUUAUUUAUACGAAUUGACCAAAUGCAAUCCAACCUAUAGAACUAUUAUCCAUUGCAACUCAAUCAACUUGGUUUAAACGGGAGUUUCGUGUUCUUGAGUCUCUAUUGUAUCCAUACGGUUGAUGUAGAAUCUUUAUAGUUCUUGAGCAUUGCAAGACUAAAUUUAACUGGAAGCCUUUUUACUGAUGAAUCUAGCUUUUAUUUCUACUA